AUGCUUUCUGACGAUUCAGUGACAGAAACGAAUCAUUCAGAGAAUCAAGUGUUUUACUGUGAACUCCAUGAGAGGGCAAAGGUCAUCCCAGAGAAUAAAACACUGUGGUACACUUUUGGUGGAGGAACUAAACUGGUGAUCAGAACUGGUCCCGCAGUGAAGCCCUCCGUGUCUCUGCUGCCUCCCUCUUCUCUGCAGAUCUCUGGAGACUCAGCAGCACUGCUCUGCCUGCUCAGCUCUUACUCUCCACAGGGGGCGCAGGUGAGCUGGACGCUGGACGGGUCAGAGGUCAGCGACGGGGUUCAGACCAGCGCAGAGAGCGAGCGGGACGGACUCUACAGCCGCAGCAGCGUCCUGAGCCUCAGCAAAGCACGCUGGGAAAACGCCAAGAGCUUGGUCUGCAGAGUAACACACGAAGGAGGAGAUCAAAAGAGAAAGAGUUCCUCAAGAGCUCCGAGUGCUGAUGUUUCUCCAGUGAAGAGCAGCAGGAUUCACAGCAGAUUUACAGCUCAAUACUCAAGCGCUCUUUCCAUCUGCUGCCGUUGCUGUUCGUUCAAUAAAGCUUCUGAACGCCUUA